rnacentral:rRNA from 1 species
UACGUAGGGGGCAAGCGUUGUCCGGAUUUAUUGGGCGUAAAGAGCGUGUAGGCGGCCAGAUAGGUCAGCUGUGAAAACUCGAGGCUCAACCUCGAGACGUCGGUUGAAACCAUCUGGCUAGAGUCCGGAAGAGGAGAGUGGAAUUCCCGGUGUAGCGGUGAAAUGCGCAGAUAUCGGGAAGAACACCCGUGGCGAAGGCGGCUCUCUGGGACGGUACUGACGCUGAGACGCGAAAGCGUGGGGAGCGAACAGA